GAGACAUUCAAGUCUGGUUCUAGCAGUUCUUAGCCCUGAUACUUUAAGGUUACCUAUUUUUCUCAUGUACUUUACCUGACAUUUUAUUCACUCUUUUUUCCCCACCUUUUUUUUUUAAAAUCAAUUUUUCCUUCUCCCCUAGCCUGAGGAAGCUACCUCCGAGCACCGUGUGACUGAUCCGAUUACAAGCCAGCAUCCUGAGAUGCCUGAUGGUUGCAGUGGCAACUUCAGCACCUCCCUCCCCCUGCUGCCAUGCUCUCCGUUGUGCGGGCUCAGCUGCCUGGGGAAUUGCAUGGCGCCAAAGGGACACCAGAAGAGCAGUGGGCACAUGUGCCCUCACGCCGCUGGACACCACAGCAAGCACCAGUGGAUGCUCAGCAGUGAGAGAGCUGGGAUGAGGACGGCUCCUGCUUCACUUAACCGAGCACUGGGUCUGGUAAGGAGCUCACCUGCAGCUCAGCAGGGUUUGUGUUCUUGGCCUGUGUCUUAGGAGGCUGCGGCUGUGCUCGUAGGCUGAUUCCUACAGGUCGGAAGGAACAGAGUUGUUUUCCUUUGUUAACACAUGUUGGUUUGGUUAAUAGUGUUUCUACACUGAGGAAACAGCCUGGUAAGAGCCCUGGGAGGGGGGGAAUCCUUUCAAAUUUGGAUGACCUAAUGCUGUAAUAGGGAGACAACAUUCAAUCCUCCAUAAUUGCAGGGCAUUUUGCAGUUUUCCCCCAGGUUAAAGAGUAAUUCCAAGGGAUAAUGAUAUCCUUUCCUUUGUUUCCUGGUUUUUGAUGUAGUUCUCAUCUGAAUGCAUAGGUAUGUCUUCCUCCAAGAAGGCCUGGCAGUGAAAGACAAAUGGGUGCAUCGAGUCUUUCUUCCCCUCCAUAUUUUUCUUGAUUGUGGAUUUGUGGUUUUGAUAUUUGUUCAGCUCUAGAAUACUCCCCUUUUUCUUUUGUCUAACUGCCGAGUGAAAUGUUGGCUGCUACUUUUAGUUUCAUUAGCCUGAAUCUUGUCCUUUCAUCUACAUGGUGGUGGGAAUUUCUCUAGCUGGGAUGAGAGUUCAAGGUCAAGUUUAUCAAAUAACUGGGAGGUGUCAGGGCUCUUAACCUUCCCUGCUUUUCUCUUGGUAAUAUUACGCUGCUUUCUGUUAAUUAAAUAUCUUGUCCAUGGAGUAAGAAGAGCCCAAGGUACAGAACUAGCAGUAGGUUGUUCUGUAGUUUCAUGCAUCUUGCAAACCUGUGUUCUAGGCCACAGAUGCAAGUCCUAGAACUAAUAAUUGUAUUAUGCUGUAUUCAAACACUUCAAAACGCAAACCACUGAAAGAUCAAAUGUUUCCAAACCCUGAAUUACUAGUCAUCAACUGCAAUUUUAAAAUAAAAACUGGAGCUUCUAUAACA
ensembl:lncRNA